UCUUCAAAAUUGUAUAAAUUAAAUAUAAAUUUCUUUAUUUAAUUCUUCCUGAUAAGAUAUCAAAACAUCUACUGUGGAAGUUUGCAACGAAAUAACUAGUCGCAUCGUUAGUAAAGCAAAUGAAAAAUAUUUUUUCCUUCUUUCUUUUUCAGUUGGAAAUGUCAAUGGAGAAGUCGAAGGCAUUUGAUGACGUUAUUGCUAGGGCAAAUUGAAGAAGAUUAAUGGUGGGAUUAAUCUUGAUACUAAUGGCAUCUGAAGCUGAGUAUCAUCGCAUCCAAUGAUUUCUACCGGUUCUUCUUGAAUAUGCUUGAAUAGG
rnacentral:lncRNA from 1 species